AGGGUUUGAUUAUGGCUCAGAUUGAACGCUGGCGGCAGGCCUAACACAUGCAAGUCGAGCGCGAAAGCACUUCGGUGUGAGUAGAGCGGCGGACGGGUGAGUAACGCGUAAGAAUCUACCUAGUAGUGGGGGACAACUCGAGGAAACUCGAGCUAAUACCGCAUACGCCCUACGGGGGAAAGCGGGGGACCUUCGGGCCUCGCGCUAUUAGAUGAGCUUGCGUUGGAUUAGCUUGUGGGUGGAGGUAAUGGCUCACCAAGGCUACGAUCCAUAGCUGGUCUGAGAGGAUGAUCAGCCACACCGGGACUGAGACACGGCCCGGACUCCUACGGGAGGCAGCAGUGGGGAAUAUUGCGCAAUGGGCGAAAGCCUGACGCAGCCAUGCCGCGUGUGUGAAGAAGGCCUUAGGGUUGUAAAGCACUUUCAAUUGGGAGGAAAAGUUAACGACUAAUACUCGUUAGCCUUGACGUUACCUUUAGAAGAAGCACCGGCUAACUCCGUGCCAGCA
rnacentral:rRNA from 1 species